GGCUGUAAUAGUCAUUCCCCCCUUCAGCGCCGAUUAGGGAUUCCAUUCCCGUUUCUUAUUUUCUAUUCCAUUUUCUGCCCUCAUCAACUUCAUCCUCUCAGACGUUUCCCUUCCAUAUUGCAAGGUCAUUACCAUCACUCUUUUAGCAGCUCGCACUCUUCCCCUAUUUAUUUUACAGGUUCAAAUUAAACCUUUUGGACAAACUGAUUCAUGCGUGGUUACAAGAAGUAAUUUCAAGAACCUAUAUUGGACAGUGACUCAACAAGUAGCACUUCACACAAUUAAUGGUUGCAACCUGAGGCCAGACGAUCUCCUUGGAACUGGGACCAUUAGUGGGGCUGAAUUUGAAUCAUUUGGAUUUUUGCUGGAACUAACAUGGAAUGGACAAAAACCAUUGCCAUUAAAUGGGACAACUCGAAAAUUCUUAGAAGAUGGAGAUGAAGUAAUCUUCUCUGGUUGCUGCAAGAUACUUUCUGUGUUCGACAUGGUUUUUAAAACUAAGUUGCAAACUCAUUUAUCUCCCUAUCAUGCAAUUUAUAGAUAGGCUCGAGUCUUUGGCCUUGAAGGAAUUUUAAACAGGUGAAAUGAAACCACAAUAUUUUAGGAUAUCUUUCUGGUUCUGGGUUAUUGGUUGAAGUUUUGGUAGUGAUGGGGUUUAAAAUAAUGGAAUUCAAAAGCUUAGUAUAGUGGGGUUUAGAAUCUAAGGUUUGAGCUCGAGGAUAAUAUAAAUUUGUUUAUCUCCAAAUCCGUGCUGAAAGUGAAAGUUACUAUAUAGAACGUGGAGUCAUGGUCAUGUAUUGUUUCCCAAAAUCUUUUACCUCCAAUAGGAGGAACAAGAACAUGUGGAGUAGUAUAGAGUGAUUAAUUUCUGAAUUAUAAAUUG